ensembl:lncRNA
AAAAAUCUAUAUAUUUAGACAGCUAUUCUCAGUAGUGAUCCUUAUCACCUUUUUUGAUACAGGGUCUCACUAUGUAGCUCUGGCUAGCCUAGAACUCACUGUAGAGUAGGCUGGCCUUGAACCUGCUGAGAUUUGCCAGCCUUUGCCUCCCAUGUGCCAGGAUUAAAAGCAUGCAUAACUAUGCUCAGCAUGAUUUUCUUCCUGAUAAGUAAAAUGACAUCCAGAGAUAAUACUUCAGACUGUCACUGCAGCAUCUGCCUGUAGUCGGAAAUAACAUGCUUACUAUAGUUUUAACCAAAAGUGGCCGAUAAGAUGGUUGAAUGGUUAAGAGCAUUUGUUGCUCUUGGAAAAGACACAGUUCAAUUCUGAGGACAUAGUGGUUCACAGCCAUCUGUAACUCCAGUUCCAGGGGGUCUGAUGUCCCCUUCUAAUCUCCUUGGGUACCAUACAUGCACAUACAUAUAUGCAGGCAAAACAUACACAAAAGUAAAUGGAAUAGGUAUUGUUUUAACAUAAAAUUAAAUGAUGGCUAUUAUCUCUCCUCCUAUCUAUAAGUUAUAUGGGAGGUACCUCAAAUGAAUCCUAGCCACUCCAACUACUUUUAAAGGACCUAUUGGAGACUAGUUUGGAGGCCAAAGGAUAAGAAGGCCCACAGUGGAUGGAGGCACUCUGAGCACAUCCAGAACUUCUAAUGGACUUGAAUUUGAACAUUUAAAGAAUACUGUUAUUCUAGCCUUGUACUUGGAAUGCUCCUAACUUUUCCCUUCCUUCUUUCUUCACAUCUCCUAGAAAGCAGUUGAGGACUUUUCUUUUCUCCACCUGUUUGUUACUCAAAUGAUUCUAGGAUUACCUCUUGGAGAGUGGGGAGAAUAGGGACCUUGAUGAAACCAGAAGGUCCCUCCUCCCUUCUGUGCCCCAAAGAAACACACAGACGCUAUAUUAGUAUAAGUAUGUUGGCUGGCGACUUGGGCUUCUUAGUCCAGCUACAUCACUUCCUGGGAUUACAUGAUGAUUCCUCUCUGUCUACACUUCCCUGAAUCCUCCUUGUCUCCUAGUCCUACCGGUCUUCCUACCUGGCCAAUCAGUGUUUUAUUCAUCAACCAAUAAGACAAAAAUAUUCACAGAAGAACAUUUCCCCAUCAGUCCAUCCCCAAUAAAACACCACUUAUCAUUUAUACUGGGUCUGGUGAAUUCAUAAUUUCCACACCUACACCUUUUCUCAAAGGAAUAAGGCAGAAAAUGAUAGAGUAUCUUCCACAUGCACAAGCAAGCACACAUGAGCACACACGUGCACAAAUGGUUACCAUUAGUAUAAUUUUUUUUAUGCUGUCAUUUCCACAAUUAAAAGUAAUGUCUUAGCUGGAUGUAGUGGCACAUGCAUGUAACCCAGCACUGGUAGGGGCAAGCAGGAAGAUCAAGAGUUCAAGGGCGCCUCUUGACUUUAGAUAACAGGGUUUCUUUGAGUAUCCCUGGGAUGGCCUGUAAUUAGCUUUGGAUACCUGGAUGGCUUCAAACUCACAGAGAUCUGCCUGCCUCUGUCUCCCAAGUGCCGGGAUUAAAGGUAUGUGCCUUCACUGCCCAACCAGCCAACCAGUCUUUUUUUUUUUUAAGUAAUUUAUUUUUUUUAAUCUUAUGUGCAUUGGUGUUUUUGCUUGCAUGUCUGUCUGUGUUAGGUUGUUGGAUCCCUUGCAACUGGAGUUACAGACAGCUGUGAACUGCCAUGUAGGUGUUGGGAAUUGAAUCCUGGUCUUCUGGAAGAGCACCUAGUGCUCUUACAUGCUGAGUCACCUCUCCAGCCCUUUAGCCAAUCUUAAAACAACAACAACAAAAAAAAAUGUGUGUCCUGAUGUGUUCAGCAUACUUCUUUUUGCUAGUGAAAAACCUUCCAUACUAAUACUUGUGGUCUCAGAAUAAAUUGACCCAUCUUCUCAGAAUUAAAUUUGGCUUAUAAAUCAUUCUUACUAUUUUUUCUCCCUCAAAGCAACAUACUUAUAAGCAAGAAAAAUGUUCUCUGG